GGGGGAUUGGCGCAAUGGUAGCGCGUGGUUCGUCCACCUGCUCUUCUUGUUUAUAAGCUAGCUCUAAUCAUCUCAUCAGGCUCUCCUACUUGAUCAAAAUCCUACAUGAUGAGAGAUCUCGUCGUGAAGCCAAGGUUGAGGGUUCGAGUCCCUUGUUCCUCG